rfam:Flavobacteria bacterium MS024-2A ctg71, whole genome shotgun sequence.
CCCGCAGGCUAUCUUAUCGCUCUUUUCAUUUGAAAGGAGAGGAAAGUCCGGACACCAUAGAGCAGCAUAGCGGGUAACACCCGUCCUUUGAAAGAAGCGGACCAGUGCAACAGAAAGCAAGUACAGUUCGGCUGUAGUGAAACCAGGUAAACUCUAUGCGGUGCAACGCCAAGUAUAUCUACAAUUAAGAGCGGCUCGUUCAAUGUAGAAGGGUAGGCGGCUAGAAUGUAAAAGUAAUUUUACAUCCAGAUAAAUGAUAAGACUCGACAGAAUCCGGCUUAUCGGCCUGCUUUUUUU